rnacentral:sRNA from 1 species
GUUUAAUGGAGGCUACCAAUAGCAGAAUCCACCACCAUGGUUCACUCAACAACCACAACAAACCCCAGCGGCUCAAGAUCCUGAAAUUAAGCAACUUAUUCAACAAAUCAUUCAAGGACAAGCUACUGGAGCUAUGGCUUUUGACAAGAAGAUAGCUGAAUUACACAACUAGAUCGAUUGUUCUUAUAACGAUCUAAAUGUCAAGUUUGAAGCUCUGAAUUCCAAAGUCAAGUAUGUGGAGAGUCAGUUUGCAUCCACCUCUGCUCUGAAGCAUCCUCAGCAACUUCAUGGGAAAGCAGUUCAGAAUCCUAAGGACUAUGCUACUGCAAAUGCUAUCACCAUCCACCAAGAAGAUGAGUCUCCACCAAGUCAUCAGAUUCCCAAUAUUGAGGACAGUAUGAUUCAAGAAGGGGGGAUUCAACUCAAAUUGUUGCACCUGCCAUCCAACAAUUCAUCUGGACUAUAGAGCACACACCUUUGCUGAAUACUCACCACUCUGAAAAACAUUUCAAAAGAGAAAAACUCAAGAAGGAUCAGAAUUAAGAGAUGAUUAGUAGAGUCAUCACUCAAGAAGCUUACAAGAAGAAAGUCAUCCAAGAAAAGCUUAGUGAUCCCGUUUCAUUCACUCUGCCAUGCUCUCUACGACCAUUGAUAUUCAAUAGGUGCCUUUGUGAUUUGGGAGCAUCUGUUAGCCUUAUGCCUCUCUCUACAGCUAAAAGGCUAGGGAUCAUGGAAUUCAAGUUCUGCAACUUAGCUUUACUCUUAGCUGAUUGUUCUGUUGCACAUCCUCAUGGUCUAAUAGAAAAUCUGCCUAU